rnacentral:misc_RNA from 1 species
GAUGAAGAACGUAGCGAAAUGCGAUAAGUAAUGUGAAUUGCAGAAUUCAGUGAAUCAUCGAAUCUUUGAACGCACAUUGCGCCCGUCAGUAUUCUGGCGGGCAUGCCUGUUCGAGCGUCAUUACGCCCCUCAAGUCCCCUGUGGACUUGGUGUUGGGGAUCGGCGAGGCUGGUUUUCCAGCACAGCCGUCCCUUAAAUUAAUUGGCGGUCUCGCCGUGGCCCUCCUCUGCGCAGUAGUAAAACACUCGCAACAGGAGCCCGGCGCGGUCCACUGCCGUAAAACCCCCCAACUUUUUAUAGUUGACCUCGAAUCAGGUAGGACCACCCGCUGAACUUAAGCAUAUCAAUAAGCGGAGGA